UGGGCACAUCACAAAACAUAGAGAUGUUCACGAUUUAGUGACAUCAAAAUCCAGGUACAGUAAAUUUCACUAUAAUAUGAUAGUCAAAACUUGCUGAAAUUGAAAAUUAAGUUUACUUUUGUUCAGUAACACUUAAAUAAAAUAUGAUGCAUACUGUUAGAAUUAAUACAGGUAAAUUGCCCUUCUAUUGUACUGUAUGUAUCAAUCAGAAUUUAUAAUUCAACCUUGGACAUCAUCUACAUACCACAAUUUAUUUUAUAGGAAUCAAUCCCAGAUGCUGGCACAGUAAGCAGAGCAGUAUCUGAAAAAACAAGUGCAGAGCAGCAUGGUCAUGAACCAAAUAUAUCUCUGGAGGAAAUAACUUCAUUUAACGUAAGAGAAAUUCUUCUGGCAACACCUGAUGGAAAACCUAUUAUUAAUGGUAUAGAAGAAAAGCACUGCAUGUCAAUUCAUGAGAGACGAGCCAUGGUUCGGAUAUUGGUGUCACAUCUGAGGAGGUGCUUUGGAGAAAAUUUCAAGGCCUUAAGGACUGCCAGAAUAAAGGCUAUGAAGCAUGGUUCAGUCCAGGUCGAAAUCACAGACCUGCCAAAGGCUUCUUGGAGGAGCGCCUUACCAAAUCAGAGUAUAUCAAACAACACAGACGAAGCCAAUAACUUAACUUUGCCGGAAUCAACUGUGGACAUGGAACGAGCCGUUCAAAUGACUGAGUGGCUUAAAAAUAAUAUCUGGCCACCAAGUUAGGUUGAACAAUACAUGAAAGAGACAGCCAUCCAUCGGGCAAAAUGGAUUUGAGAUAAUGGAACCAAAGCAGUCAUGGAAAUAGUUAAAGAGUAUCCACGUCUCCUCGACACUCCGGACAUGAUAUCCCAGGACUUUUCAAUUCUUAAUCCUGACUCUGCUUCAAAACUCACGAGAACUGGGUGCCUGUCUUCAAGGAUAAGAUCCGACAGUUCGCCACCCGAGAAAAGCAGCCUGUUCAUUUACUUUCCAAUUUAGAAACUAUGUCAGCAGACCAUCAGAGUGACAUCACCUUACUUGUCCUACCUAUAAUCCUUCCAACCUCAAUUUAUAAGAUUGGAAGGAAAAUGUUCAGACCGACUUAUAUUGAAACCAGGAAGGCUUUCAUAGACAUACAACCGAUCGGAACCAACAUGGCUGAAUACCUGCGGUCAAAAGGCACAAGCGAUGUUCUCAUGCUGGGAGACAACGAGUGCUUUCAGGCUUUUGUUAUACUAAAUGGAGAAGCAAUUGAGCAAAAAACAUUGCUGGCAGCAGUAGAUGUUUGCUUUAAAGCUUUCUACGUCUUCGAUAUCAAUUACCCCAAGCAGUGCUCCCCCGUCUGGCAGUUUCUACAGACUGUGGUCUUUGGACUUCUUGGAGAUUAAACUCCAUCAAUAAGAAUUCUACGUGCUUUUAUAUCUGCUGCUAAAGAGUAGUUAUUGUUAGUUAGAACAACUUUGCUGGUGCAAUUUAUUUUGCUUGAAGUUCUUACUGUGACCCUUUCUCUAGGAAAAACUGAACAUAUGCAGUUUGUUAUUUUGGCUGAAUGUUAUCUGAUUCUGACAUUGUGCAGAGGUGCAUAAAGUGUUAAACAUGUUCUGAGAAUGUUUUAAUGCCAAAGUUUUUACAAUGAAUUUUUCUGUGACAAUUUCUCUCUUAGGAAAACAGAA